GACUGCGGAAGGAUCAUUA
rnacentral:rRNA from 9 species